rnacentral:rRNA from 1 species
UACGAAGGGGGCUAGCGUUGCUCGGAUUGACUGGGCGUAAAGGGCGCGUAGGCGGUUCGUACAGUCAGGCGUGAAAUUCCUGGGCUCAACCUGGGGGCUGCGUUUGAUACGUGCGGACUUGAGUGCGGAAGAGGGUCGUGGAAUUCCCAGUGUAGAGGUGAAAUUCGUAGAUAUUGGGAAGAACACCGGUGGCGAAGGCGGCUAUCUGGACCGACAUUGACGCUGAGGCGCGAAAGCGUGGGGAGCAAACAGG